rnacentral:rRNA from 1 species
AUUUUAAAAGAAUGGGAGGCCUAAACGUCUUUAUUUAACUCAGAUGGUGGGGUAAAGGCCUACCAUGGCGACGAUCUGUAGCUGGUCUGAGAGGAUGAUCAGCCACACCGGGACUGAGACACGGCCCGGACUCCUACGGGAGGCAGCAGUGGGGAAUAUUGGACAAUGGGGGAAACCCUGAUCCAGCCAUGCCGCGUGUGUGAAGAAGGCCUUUUGGUUGUAAAGCACUUUAAGCAGUGAAGAAGACUCCAUGGUUAAUACCCAUGGACGAUGACAUUAGCUGCAUAAUAAGCACCGGCUAACUCUGUGCCAGCAGCCGCGGUAAUACAGAGGGUGCAAGCUUUAAUCGGAAUUACUGGGCGUAAAGGGAGCGUAGGUGGCUCUAUAAGUCAGAUGUGAAAUCCCCGGGCUUAACCUGGGAACUGCAUCUGAAACUGUAGAGCUUGAGUAUGUGAUAGGAAGGUAGAAUUCCAGG